rnacentral:misc_RNA from 1 species
UCCGUCUUGACGACGGCAGUCCCUCUGGAGUGCCCAACUUAAUGAUGGCAACCAAAGGCAAGGGUUGCGCUCGUUGCGGGACUUAACCCAACAUUUCACAACACGAGCUGACGACAGCCAUGCAGCACCUGUCUCUUUGUCUCUUGCGAGCCUACAAUAUCUCUACUGUAUUCAAAGGAUGUCAAAUCCAGGUAAGGUUCUUCGCGUUGCUUCGAAUUAAACCACAUGAUCCACCGCUUGUGCGGGCCCCCGUCAAUUCCUUUGAGUUUUAGUCUUGCGACCGUACUCCCCAGGCGGAAUGCUUAUCGUGUUAACUUCGACACGGCAGGGGUCAAGACCUACCACGUCUAGCAUUCAUCGUUUACAGCGUGGACUAC